rnacentral:pre_miRNA from 1 species
UCUUCAUUCCUCGUACUCUCUUAGCGGUCAGAGUGACGAGAGAGCGCGUGAAAUGAAGAGA